rnacentral:rRNA from 1 species
UACGUAGGGGGCAAGCGUUGUCCGGAUUUAUUGGGCGUAAAGAGCGUGUAGGCGGCUUGGAAGGUCAGCUGUGAAAACUCGAGGCUCAACCUCGAGACGUCGGUUGAAACCACCUGGCUAGAGUCCGGAAGCGGAGAGUGGAAUUCCUGGUGUAGCGGUGAAAUGCGCAGAUAUCAGGAAGAACACCAAUGGCGAAGGCAGCACUCUGGGACGGUACUGACACUGAGACGCGAAAGCGUGGGGAGCGAACAGG